GGUAGGUGGUGCAUGGCCGUUCUUAGUUCGUGAAGUGAUUCGUUCGCCCAAUCGCAUUUCCAAACAACUAACAACUCAGAAUGCUGGGCAAUAGGACGUUUAAAGUGGCUCCUUACACCUUACAAAGGAAUGGCUGAUGAGAAACAACUCGAUCCGCUCAGCGUUCUAUUGGAAUGCAACGGACGUGAUUGCAAGCUUUUGUUUUGAGUUGCGGUUUUACUGAAAGACUCUACAAUCCGCAAACUUCAAUGAUCUGAAGUAGAAAACCUACAUGCUACAGUGAGAUAUUGUGGAUA
rnacentral:rRNA from 1 species